rnacentral:lncRNA from 8 species
UACAGCACGCUCUGUAAAUUGCAAUGGAAGCAGUGUGAUUUCACUGAGGUAUGUAUAAAUUAUGAAAUUCUCAUCACUAGUGGAUAUAAGGUUUUUUGGGAUACCCAUCCGAUUGUGUGAUUUUCUUUCUUUUCAAAGGAAAACAUGCAGCAAAUUAGACGAUGGUGGUGCCUAGUUCUCCUGCAGAACUUUUCCAUGCCAUAAGUCUUUUCAUUUGCAUCCUUAAAAUCACUUGUUUCACUCUAGCCAGUUUCACUUUCAUAUUGAAUGUAUGUCAUUCACUCACUAAGGUCUGAAGAAGAGAGGUUGAAAGAUGGAUAAAGGCGUCGAAAACAAAACACACUACAGCUAGGUGUCAUAUGAUGAGUGGUAUGGUCUUAAACCAAUGUUUAAAGACUUAACCUCCCCCCUUCUCCAAUAUAUUUCAGGAUGAUGUAGAAGAUGUCCCCCCCAAGAAGACACAGCAUGUCACAUCAGCAUCCAGCUCUGCAGGAUCAGACGAUACUGAAAACAAAAUACACAGCGAGCUGUGAACUGGGAAGCAGAUGUUCUUCUAAGGGACACCCUAGAGGCAGCCAGGUGGUGUGAACAGCAGGAGUGAAGCCAUUUUUGAGGAGUGGUCAAACAUUGUUUUUGUCUGCUGUGUUAAUUAUUUGUGUUGUUUAGUAAAGAUGAUGUAGAAGUCAGCCGAGUCUCUGAUCUCUUUACUGGAACUGGUAUAACUUAAUGUACAAAGGACAUUCAGCUUGUUAGUAUGUCUAUAUGGCAGUCUGUCUCCAUUCUCAUGAGGAAAGUAAAUAGCAUUAUAAAUCAGGAUAGACAGUAACUGUGUAUAUAUAUAUAUAUAUAUAUAUAUAUAUAUAUAUAUAUAUAUAUGCUCA